UUUGAUCCUGGCUCAGAUUGAACGCUGGCGGCAGGCCUAACACAUGCAAGUCGAGCGGAUGAGAGGAGCUUGCUCCUUGAUUUAGCGGCGGACGGGUGAGUAAUGCCUAGGAAUCUGCCUGGUAGUGGGGGAUAACGUUCCGAAAGGAACGCUAAUACCGCAUACGUCCUACGGGAGAAAGCAGGGGACCUUCGGGCCUUGCGCUAUCAGAUGAGCCUAUGUCGGAUUAGCUAGUUGGUGAGGUAAUGGCUCACCAAGGCGACGAUCCGUAACUGGUCUGAGAGGAUGAUCAGUCACACUGGAACUGAGACACAGUCCAGACUCCUACGGGAGGCAGCAGUGGGGAAUAUCGGACAAUGGGCGAAAGCCUGAUCCAGCCAUGCCGCGUGUGUGAAGAAGGUCUUCGGAUUGUAAAGCACUUUAAGUUGGGAGGAAGGGCAUUAACCUAAUACGUUAGUGUUUUGACGUUACCGACAGAAUAAGCACCGGCUA
rnacentral:rRNA from 1 species